rnacentral:rRNA from 1 species
GAUGAACGCUGGCUACAGGCUUAACACAUGCAAGUCGAGGGGAAACGACGGGGUUGCUUGCUUCCCCGGGCGGCGACCGGCGCACGGGUGAGUAACGCGUAUCCAACCUGCCUCUGACUGAGGGAUAACCCGUCGAAAGUCGGACUAAUACCGCAUGUCAUCGUCUGCGGGCAUCCGACGACGAUUAAAGAUUUCGUGGGGCAGGGAUGGGGAUGCGUCUGAUUAGCUUGUUGGCGGGGUAACGGCCCACCAAGGCGACGAUCAGUAGGGGUUCUGAGAGGAAGGUCCCCCACAUUGGAACUGAGACACGGUCCAAACUCCUACGGGAGGCAGCAGUGAGGAAUAUUGGUCAAUGGGCGAGAGCCUGAACCAGCCAAGUAGCGUGCAGGAUGACGGCCCUAUGGGUUGUAAACUGCUUUUAUGCGGGGAUAAAGUGGGGGACGUGUGCGUCAUUGCAGGUACCGCAUGAAUAAGGACCGGCUAAUUCCGUG